rnacentral:rRNA from 1 species
AUUGAACGCUGGCGGCAUGCCUUACACAUGCAAGUCGAGCGGCAGCGCGGGGGCAACCCUGGCGGCGAGCGGCGAACGGGUGAGUAAUGCAUCGGAACGUGUCCUUUCGUGGGGAGUAACCAGUCGAAAGACUGGCUAAUACCGCAUGAGCUCGAGAGAGGAAAGCAGGGGACCGCAAGGCCCUGCGCGAGAGGAGCGGCCGAUGCCCGAUUAGCAGUUGGUGAGGUAACGGCUCACCAAGGCGACGAUCGGUAGCUGGUUUGAGAGAACGACCAGCCACACCGG